rnacentral:rRNA from 1 species
AACGUAGGAGACAAACGUUAUCCGGAUUUACUGGGCGUAAAGGGCGUGUAGGCGGUUUGUUAAGUCUGGCGUGAAAGCUCUCGGCUAAACCGGGAGAGGUCGUUGGAUACUGGCAAACUAGAGGACGGUAGAGGCGUGUGGAAUUCCGGGUGUAGUGGUGAAAUGCGUAGAGAUCCGGAGGAACACCAGUGGCGAAGGCGACACGCUGGGCCGUACCUGACGCUAAAGCGCGACAGCAUGGGGAGCAAACGGG